rnacentral:lncRNA from 1 species
AUUGGCCCAAUAAACCCUUCCUUCUCCAUUAAAGCACACAUUAUCAGAUUUUUUUAGACCUAAGGGAAGACACCCAAAAAACGGUGCACCUAUAUGAGAUCGAGGAUCUCUCUUUCCCCAUUCGGAGAAGAAACUCAGCAGCCUCCCAUCUCAGUAGAAAAAAAAUCAAAAUAGACUCUCUUUCACCCAAUUCCUAUAAACUUUCUCUCAUCUAUAUUCACUCAUUUUUAUUCUCUCAUUUACACACGCACCUUCACGCAUACACGCACAGAGAAUGAAAAGGAUGGGAGAUUGAUUCUUUGCACAAAGUAACAAAUCUAAAAAUUAACCAAAACACCGGAAGAGUUACAAAGGGAAAAGCUGGGCAGCAACUUCAAAAAGCAAGAGGAACGAAGAGCAGAAUUGUAAAAUUAUUGAGGGGGAAGGGACAGUCAAAUCCUGAUUUCGAAUUUUGAAACCUUUUGAUUUUAGUUUCAAAUUUCGGCUGUUACUUCUGAUUUUUGAUUUGGAGUCCGAUGGAGUUUGAUUGAGGUCAUUGUUCGAGCUCCAGCCAAUGAUUUUGUUUGGGACGUGUCGUUGUCCAUUUUCAAAUUGAAGUUUUUCUUUAAAAGGUUAGAUCUCUUUCAACAGAAAGGUCCACUGAUGACUUCUUAUUUUAAAUUAAUGCAUAACUUUGUAACUUUAUGUAUCUGGAUGAAUUUUCCUUGGUUUCAUAAUUAUCUCUUUUGUUGCUGCUUAUAAUACUACUUAUUGUGGAUUAAAGUGCCUAAAAAAUAUUUUUUUAAUUUUAUUUUGAGGCUUAAAACAGUAAAAGGGCAUAUUUGUUUGAGCGGGAUUUUUAUCGUACUCGCAAGUUGUUAUUUCUUGUUGAAUUUGUAGGAUAUUGAAAUUUAGCCGUGAAAUUGUUUCCCUUCGCUUCAUGUUUAUUUUUUUAGUGUUUUGAUUUCUUUUGUUUAUAAUGUCCUUCUCCAGAUGUUACUCUUAUUAGGUGUUUAGGUUAAUUGAACAAUUAAAAUUUAGCUUUUGACAUUUAUGGACUAAAUAGGGCUGUGAGAUUUGAUAAUUGAAAUUUGAAAGUUGGAUAAAAAACAAAUUCGACUAGAGCCGCUAGCCCAGUCCAACAGAAUGCAAUAACUGGACCUUUCUUUGUAAAUUCAUUUAGCUAGUCACUUCACAUAGGAAAUGAACAACUUUGAACAUUCGUAGUUUGAUUUAGGCGCGUUUUACAAUAAAUUAUCGCGACUAUGAGUACGGUUCCCGUGGUAUAGUCACGAUAACUAAUUUCCAACUUCGGGGGUGCAUUUCAUGUGACCCAAUCAUAACAACUUCGAAUACUAAUAAAAUUAACAUGUCACAAAUCGCGGGUGCAUUUCAUGUAGCAUGGUUUGUGAUGUGUCCCAAAACAACAAGUGUACGAUAAUCGUAACUUGUUCAAGAAAUAAAUCCAUAAAUCCUAAAAGCGGUUUUAAAAUAAUUAAAAGCGGUUAUGAAGUUAAAAAUGCACAAUACGUUUGAAACAUGUAAUAAAUCAGAUAAUAUGCCAAUUAUUAAUAGUUAAAGCGACCGUGCUAGAACCACGGAACUCGGGAAUGCCUAACACCUUCUCCCAAGUUAACAAAAUUCCUUAGUUAGAAUUUCUGGUUUCGCAAACUUUUAAAUAAAGUCCAUUUUCCCCGAUUUGAGAUAUUAUUUUAAAAAUAAAUCGAUGACUUGGGACACCAAAUAAACUAUUCCAAGUGGCGACUCUGAAAAUAAAUAAAAUAAUUCCAUUUUGAAUAAUGUCACUUUAAUUGGAAAAACUCCGUUAUAUACCCCUCAGGUAGAAAAAGGAGGUGUGACCCCAGGUAUUAUACCUCCUGAUUGCGAGACCUACAUAGAGACCGCGAAUAAUAAAUAAUCACUGCCCUCAAAAUAGUCUACACGAAUGCGAUGGUUACCAGACCUGACACUUCGCGAAUGCGUGCACACCUACCUGAUCGUGUAGUCUUAAAGCCCGACGCCCUAGCUAACAUCUCCUCUACGCGAACGGGUUACCCUACUCAUGAUCGCGCUAACUUGAGCCUCUCAAAGCUAGACGAAUGCGAGCUUAUUAGCGCAAACAUGAAGAAUAAAUGACCGCUGCUAGCAACAUUUCUUCGUGAUCGCGUCCCUUUCUUUGCGGUCACGAAAGAGGAAACCAGAUGCACAAAAAUCAACAGUCCAACAAUGAAGAAAAAUGAUCUGACACCCAUUCAGAACACACCCGAGGCACUCGAGACCUCGUCCAAACAUACCAACAAGUCCUAAAACACAACACAAACUCGCUUGAAGCCUCAAAUCACAUCAAAUAAUAUCAAAACCAUGAAUCGUGCAUCAAUUCAAGCCUAAUGAACCAAUGAGCUUCCAACUUCUAAAAUUAAUGUCGAAUCAUAUCAAACCAAUUUUGAAUGAUCUCACAUUUUGCACACAAGUCAUAAAUGACACAACAGACCUAUGCCAACUCCCAGAAUCGAAUUCGAACCGUUAUCGACAAAGUCAACUCUCGGUCAAACUUCUCAGCCUUCCAAACCUUCAACUUUCCAACUUUCGCCAAAAACUAUCAAAUCGACCUACAGGCCUCCAAAUUAACAUUUGAACAUAUGUCUAAUUCCAAAAUCACCAUAUGAAGAUAUCAGAAUCAUCAAAACUCCAUUCCAAAUUCGUAUACAUAAAAGUCAAACAUCGAUCAACUCUUCCAACUUAGGAUUCCAAACUUGGGUCUAUGUGUCCUAAUUCACUCUGAAACAUCCCCGGAACCAAACCAACCACCCCAAAAAGUCACAUAACCACAAAUAAAUAUAGAAUAAGCAAUAAAUAGGGGAAUGUGACUACAAUACACAAAACGGCCGACCGGGUAGUUAUAUUUCCGAAUCCAUUGUUGGAUCCGCCUCUAAAAAUACACGCAUACAAUCCAAUUAAGAUUGCUCCUCCAUCAUUCUUUGUACCAGAUGAGAUGCAGAUUAGAGAUAAUAAACACUAGCAUAUUCUUAUGUAUAUGACACUGCAUAUAAGUAAUUAUACUUGUAACAAGAAUGUGUAAGGGGGAGAAGAUGCAAAAUGGGUUGCUUCUUUAUUUUUUACUUUACUAGUUUAUACGAACGUGUGUUGCACGUUAAUAAUAGCACGUAAUAAUUUAGUAUAUUAUUUAUAUGAAGGAACAUCAAAGUCAACGAAUGAUACAAUUAUAUAUAUANNNNNNNNNNNNNNNNNNNNNNNNNNNNNNNNNNNNNNNNNNNNNNNNNNNNNNNNNNNNNNNNNNNNNNNNNNNNNNNNNNNNNNNNNNNNNNNNNNNNNNNNNNNNNNNNNNNNNNNNNNNNNNNNNNNNNNNNNNNNNNNNNNNNNNNNAUAUAUAUAUGCAAAUACAAUCCAAUAUUUGGAUUGCUUGCCCUUGCACUUUAUUAUUGUCAUUAAAAAACAUAAUCAUAAAAGGGUAGCCGGUAUACAAAGCAACCCUCAUUCACGCAUGGUCUGGAGAAGGGACAUACCCAAGGGAUGUGAUGUAGAUAACUAUCCUAAUGCAAGUAUUAGUGGUUACUUUCACGAACUGUUCCGUGACAAAUAGGUCAUACAUAGACCACUUUACUAUUGCUCAAAGUCUCCCCUUCAACAAAAUUCAAGCAUAUUGAAAAUUAUUUUCGGUUAAAUUUAAAAGGAUAUCUUUCAUUUUGUGGAGGAAAAAGUUAAAUUCAGGGAAUAAAUAUAUGCUUGAAAGUAUAUUGACCCAUCAUGAUUUCUGCAUAUAUAAUGUUAUUAUAUUAAAAUCUCUACAUACCAUUCUUGUACCAUUACAUAAUUCGUUUGAUUAUCUAAGUUUCUCAGUAGCAUAAUGGGUGCAUUUUCUUUAAAUUUAACUUGUAUGCGAUGAAAGAUCAAUCCCAUUUUAAAUUAAUAUUAUCUUCAGUUAUCCAAUUAAAGCAGCAACCAAUUUACUUUUUAAAAAACUAAUAAGAAUACACGAUAUCCAAAAUUGCAAUAAUUAUAGGGGUAUCAAGUUGUUAGUCACACUAUGAAGGUUUGGGAGAGGGUGGUGGAGGCCAGGGUGAGGAGGUGUGUGUCUAUUUUUGAGAAUCAGUUUGGAUUCAUGCCAGGAUGUAAGUGAAUCAUCUGGUUAGGAAAUUAAUGGAACAGUAUAGGGAGAGGAAGAAGGACUUAUAUAUAAUGUUUAUUUACCUUGAGAAAGCGUACGAUAAAGUCCUGAGGGAGGUCCUUUGGAGGUGUUUGGAGGCUAGUGGUGUUCCGGUAGCGUACAUUAGGGUGAUAAAGGAUAUGUAUGAUAAUGCUAAGACUCGGGUGAGGACUAUCGGUGGAGACUCAGAGCAUUUCCCUGUGGUAAUAGGGUUGACCCAGGGAUCGACUCUUAGCCCGUUUUUAUUUGCCUUAGUGAUGGAUGUACUGUCGCGACACAUCCAAGGGGAGGUGCCUUGGUGCAUGCUAUUUACCGAUGAUAUAGUAUUGGUUGACUAGACACAAAGCGGAGUUAACGCGAGUUUGGAGGUUUGGAGAUGGACCCUGGAGUCUAAAGGUUUCAAAUUGAGUAUAACCAAAAAAAAUACUUGGAGUGCAAAUUCUGUGACGGACCCAUGAAGCAGACGUAGAGGUAAAUCUUGAUGCUCAUGUUAUCCCUAAAAGAGCGAGUUUUAAGCAUCUCGGGUCUAUUAUCCAAGGUACAGGGAGAUUGACGAAGAUGUCGCAUAUCACAUCAGAGCAGGAUGAAUGAAGUGGAGUCUUGCUUCCGGUGCUGUAUAUGAUAAGAAUGUGUCACCCAGACUUAAGGAAAAGUUUUAUAGAGUGGUGGUUUGACUGGCUAUGUUGUAUGGGGCUGAGUGUUAGCCAGUUAGGAACUCCCACAUGCAGAAGAUGAAAGUAGUAGAGAUAAGAAUGUUGAGGUGAAUGUGCGAGUGUACCAGGAGAGAUAAGAGUAAGAAUGAAGUUUUCCUGUACAGAGUGGGAGUAGCCUCCGUGGAGGACAAGAUGCGAGAGUCGAGGCUGAGAUAGUUCAGACAUGUUAAGAGAAGAAGCAUUGAUGCCCCUGUUAAGAAGUGUAAGAGGUUGGCCAUGGCGAGUUUUAGAAGAGGUCGAGGUAGGCCUAAAAAAUACUGGGGAGAGGUGAUUAGACAGGACAUGACAUUGCUUCAGCUUACUGAGGACAUGACCCUUGAUAGGAGGGUGUGGAGGUUGAGGAUUAAGGUAAAAGGUUAGUGGGUAGUUUUUAGUUGCUCACCGAUAGUUUUAGUAGCACGCAUGUCCCUUUAUAUUCUUAGAUUUUUAUUACAUUAUGUGGUUUUGUUUGCCUCAGGUAUUGUAUCCCUUGUUACUAGUAUUUGGUACUAUUAUCCUUUAUCUCUCCCUUUUUCUUUUCUCUUCCCUCUUUUUUCCUUUCUUGCUAGCCACUUUUUCUUAUUACCCAUCCUGAGCCGAGUGUCUAUUAGAAACAACCUCUCUACCUGUUAGGUAGGGGUAAGGUCUGCGUAUAGAGUACCCUCCCCAGACAACACCUAGUGGGAACAUACUAGGUUUGUUCUUGUAGUUGUUGUAAAGACAACCAAAACCACGUAAAAGAUAAAAAAAUUAGUUGUCAAAAAGAAUUGAAAACUUUCCAAAGUAUGCAUUUUGACGGUUUGCUCUCAAAGAUUUACGAACUAUGGCUGAGUGGAAGAGGAAGAAGGAAUGCAGUGGAAUCUAUACAAAUUAAAUCUGGAAUGAUUCCUAAUUGAAUAGGAUCUCUUUAAGCAAUUAAACAGUUGGAACAUAACCCAUCCCAUUUCAAAUUUGACUAUUGGCGGGGAAUAUUUUGGUGUCUAUUUCAUACAUACAUGAUACUAAUAUACAUGAGAGAUAAUAAAAUUGAUAACGAAUCUGUGAAGUGGAAGGUCAUUUGGUAAUUUGUAAGGACCCGGCCGGUCGUUUUGAGAGUUUAAGCCCCGAUACCAUAUUAACUGCUUCCCCCGUAUCUAUUUCUACUAUUGUGACUUGUCGGGAGGCUUUGUUUUGGUUUUUGGAGUGUUUUGGGAUACUUAGUCCCCUAAAUGGAAGCUUAAGUCGUAAGAUUUUGACUGUAAUUAGAAUUGUGUGAAGAAAACUCCGGAAUGGAGUUCUGUCAACUUCAUCGGGUAAUUUUAGGCUUAGGGGUGUGUCCAGAUUGUGUUUUGGAGGUCCGUAGCUCAUUUAGACUUGAAAUGGAGAAAGUCGAACUUUGAAGAUUUAGACCAGUAGUGGAGUUUCUGAUAUCGGGUUCGGAAUCCUAUUCCGGAAGUUGGACCAAGUCCGUAGGGCUGAUUAUGACUUAUGUACAAAAUUUGAGGUCAUUGGUUUGAUAGGUUCCGGCAUCGGUUGUAGAAGUUUGAAAGUUUCAAGUUCUUUAAGUUUGAAUUGCAGGGUGAUUCGUGAUUUUAGCAUUGUUUGAUGUGGUUUGAGGCUUGACUAAGUUCGUAUUGUGUUUUAGGACUUGUUGGUAUAAUUGGUUGAGGUACCGAGGGCUUCGGGUGUGUUUCAGAUGCUUAACAUGUUGAAAUUUGGACUUAGGCAAUUGCUGAAGCUGCUGCACUUGGUGUAAUCACACCUGUGUACUUUGGGCAGCAGGUGCGGUGCCGCAGAAGCGACCAUGGAGCCACAUAAGUAGUUUUGGCCCUGACCUGCCGGGAUCGCAGGUGCAGCGAAUGGUCUGCAGAAGCGGAUGUGCAGAUGCAGUCCCAACCCAUUUAAGUUGCCUUCGCACCUAUGAUGGAUUUUCUACAGGUGCGGGACCGCAGAUGCGGUUGAAGGCUCGCAGAAGCGAAUUCUCUGCAGAAAAAAGGGAAAUUUUGAGGGUUUGAAUUCAUUCUUCAUUUUUGGACUUGAGAGCUCGAAAAUUUGUGAUUCUUCAAGAGAUUUUCAAAGAAAGCUUUGGGGUAACGAUUCCAAACUCGUUUUUGGUUGUAUUCCAUUAAUCCUUAGUUGUUUUCUUCAUUAAAUUAAGGAAUUUGGGUGAGAAGUUGGAAAAAUGGGGGAAAAGUUCUCCAACUGAAUUUCUGAGUUUUGAUUGGGAUUUAGACAUCGGAUUUGGAUGAUUUUGGUAUGAGUGAACUCGUGAGUGAAUGGGUAUUCAUAAUUUGUGACUUUUACCCGAUUCUGAAAAGUGGGACUGGGGAGGCUUUUUGGCCGAUUUUUCCAAUUUCUCACAUUAGCUUUGAUUUCAUUAGCUAGAUUAGUUUCUUGUAGUUAUAUUUAUGUUAUGUAAUUGAUUUUUGUUAGAUUUGUGUCAUUCGGAGCCAGAUAUUCAAUGGAAAGGCAUUGUGACAAAUUGAUUUGAGCUUGAUUUGAGGUAAGUGGCUUGCCUAACCUUGUGUGGGAAAACUCCUCUUGGGAUUUUGUUCUGUAUUGAUACGUGAGCGCCGUGCACGUGAGGUGACGAGUGCGUACAUGGGCUAUUUGUUCCAAAACUCCGUUUUUCAUUAAGUAAAAUACCUGUGUCCUUUUAACUAAACUACACUAGCAUAUGUAAUUAUCAUGUUUAGGUUAGGACAACAUAUUUACGUGUCUUAAUUGCUUAUUUGAACUCUGGGCAGCAUGCUUAGUGAAUCUCCUAUUCUUCCUUGACUUGUACUUAGUCUAAAUUGUUGGAUUCCGUGUUGUUGUUGUAUUUCUAUUAUUGAGCUGCAUAUUUACUUUGGAAAUACAGAACGGUAUUCCGGGAGAUCUCCCUAUACUGCAUAUUUUCUUUGGUACUACGGAACGGUAUUCUGGGAGACCCCCCUGCACUACAUAUUUACUUUGGGACUACAGAGCGGUAUUCUGGGAGAUCCCCUGCAUAUUUACAUUUGGGACUACGAGACGGUAUCUCAGGAGAACCCCUAUUAUUAUCCCUAUGUACUGAGCUAUUACCUUCUCUAAUUUCAUUCUGUUAAAUUUUAGUCUUUAUUUACUGUCGUAUUUCAUUCUGCCUUGCUUUAUUAUAUAUAUACCAGUAGGGCCUGACCUGACCUUGUCACUACUCAACUGAGGUUAGGCUUGACACUUACUUGGUACCGUUGUGGUGUACUCAUGCCCUUUCCCGCACAUGUUUUUCAUGUGCAGAUCCAGAUACCGCUUAUCAGUCGCAUUACCAGUGAGGCGAGACAGCUGUAGAGACUUCAAGGUAUAUCUGCCGCAUCAGCAGACCUUUGAGUCCCUAUCUACUCUUCCCUAUGUCAAACACUUCUUGUAUUUCCUUUGUUUAGACUCUGGAGUAUAGAAAUACUAUUUUCUUUCUGUAGCUUGUGACUUACAAUAUUCUGGGUUUUGGGAGAGUUUAUGUACAUUUCGAGAGUGAUUAUUGUAUAUGCUAGGCAGCAUCUUAAUUUCAUAUUUAAAUUUACUUGUUGGAUGUUAGCUUUUAUGUUUUUAUUUCAUUUUUGAAAAAUGUUAGGCUUACCUAGUUGUAGAGACUAGGUGCCGUCAUGAUGGUUCACAGAGGGAGAACUUGGGUCGUGACAAGUUGGUAUCACAGCGCUAGGUUCAUAGGAGUCGUGAGUCACAGUCAGUUUAUUAGAGUCUCACGAAUUAGUACGGAGACGUCUGUACUUAUCUUCGGGAGGCUAUGGAACUGUUAAGAAAAUUCCACUUCAUUUGAUUCCUUGUCGUGUGAGAUUAUUGACUUCAAAAUUCUAAACUUCUUUCUUCUAUUAUCUCAUAGAUGGCGAGGACACGUGCAACCGGAGAUGACCAGGCACCCAUGCCCCCUACUAGAGUCGCCCGAGGCUGGGGUAAAUGAUGAGGAUGCCCAUAAGGUGCAGCCAGAGCACCCGAGUGAGGUUCUAUAGAGGAGCCACAAGUAGCUCCAAUCAGAGUGCAGACACCUAAGGUGCCUACUACUACUACACCAGUCCUUUAGGAGACCCUUGCAUAGUUCCUGUGCAUGUUUGGUACUCUAGCUCAGGCAGGGUUGAUUGCCCUUGCUCCAACCACAUCUCAGGCCGGGGGAGGAGCACAGACUCUCUCCGCCCGCUCCCCCGAGCAGCGGGUUCAGGUUGAUCAAAUUCUAGAGGUUAUACCGGUACCACCCGUAGCCCCUAGUUUAGCCCGAGGGUAGGGUAGUAAUUUUCGAGGAGGAGCAGCAUAGGCUUGAGAGGUACAAGAAGUACAUCCCUCCUACAUUCAGUGGUCUAGCAUCAAUGGAUGCUUAGGAAUUUCUAGAGGAGUGCCACCAUAUCCUUCGUACUAUGGGCACAGCAGAGUCGGGUGGGGUUUCUUUUACUGCUUUUCACCUUCGAGGAGCAGCCUAUUAGUGGUGGUGUACUUAUGAGUUGGACAGUCCGGCUAAGGCAGCAUCCCUUACAUGGACUCAGUUCUCAGACAUGUUUUUGAGAGAGUAUGUCCCUUAGAGCCUCAGGAACAUAUGGCACGUGGAGUUUGUGUAGCUGCGCCAGGGUGCUAUGACUGUUUCAGAGUAUGCAGUUUGUUUCAGUGACUUGGCUAGACAUGCACCAGCCUUGGUUUUUAUAGUUCGAGAGAGGGUUCGUCGAUUUAUUGAGGGACUCAUUCCCUACAUCAGGGCUAGCAUGGCUCGGGAGUUAGAGAUGGAUAUAUCGUAUCAGCAGGUGGUGAGUAUUGCUAGGAGAAUGGAGGGCAUACUUGCUCGGGAUAGGGAGGAGAGAGAGGCUAGAGGUCUCGAGAGUCUGGCCAUUAUUCUAAUGCCCAUGCCCCAACUAUAGUUCGUCAUGGUAGGGGUUAUGUGAGUCGCCCCGUUUAUUUAGCUCUUCCAGCUGCCAGUGGUAUUCAAGCUCCUUCUAGACCUCAGAAGCUCUAUUAUGCACCUCCAGUAUCUAGUAUGCCUUCUGCAUAGGGUGCUUUUAGCGGUUAGUCCAGUAGACCUAGCUCGAGCUACCCACUAUAGCCAUGCCCUUCCAGAGCUUGUUUUGAGUAUGGCGACACUCGCCAUAUGGUGAAGGAUUGCCCCAGACUUAGGAGGGGUGCACCUCCAUAUACUUCUCAGCCACAACGUGCUCCACCGGGUCCUCAGGCUAUGAUUACAGCACCAACUGCCACCCUACCUGCUCAGCCAGGCUGAGGUGGAGGUCGGGGAGGUAGAGGUCACCCUAGAGGAGGAGGCAAGGCCAGAUACUAUGCCCUUCCUACUCGUACAGAGGGAGUUGCUUAUGAUUCUGUCAUUACUGGUAUUGUUCCGGUCUGUCAUAGAGAUGCAUCAGUUCUAUUCGAUCCAGGCUCCACUUAUUCUUAUGUGUCAUCUUAUUUUGCCCGGCAUUUGGGUGUAUGUCCUGAUUCCUUGAGUUCCCUUAUUUAUGUGUCUACUCAUGUGGGAGUUUCUCUUAUUGUGGACCCCGUGUAUCGGUCGUGUUUGAUUACUCUUAGUGGUUUUGAGACCAGAGCCAAUUUGUUGCUCAGCAUGGUAGACUUUGAUGUUAUUUUGGGUAUGGACUGGUUGUCGUUCCAUUAUGCUAAUCUUGAUUGUCAUGCCAAGACCGUGAUGCUGGCUAUGCCAGGUUUAUCGCGAUUAGAGUGGAGGUGUACCUUAGAUUACACUCUCAGCAGAGUUAUUUCAUUUCUUAAAGCUCAACGAAUGGUUUAGAAGGGGUGUGACGUGUAUCUAGCCUAUGUGAGAUAUGUCAGCAUUGAUACCCCUACAGUUGAGUUGAUUCCAGUAGUGAGGGAUUUCCUGAUGUGUUUCCAGCUGAUCUUUCGGGCAUGCCGCCCGACAGAGAUAUUGAUUUUGGCGUUGAUUUGUUGCCAGGCACUCAACCCAUCUCUAUUACUCCUUACUAUAUGGCCCCUCCUGAGUUGAAGGAGUUUAAUGAACAGUUACAUGAAUUUCUUGAUAAGGGCAUCAUUCGGCCCAGUGUGUCACCUUGGGGUGCCCGUGUCUUGUUUAUUAAGAAAAAUAUGGUUCUAUGUGUAUGUGCAUUGAUUAUCGCCAGUUAAACAAAGACACAGUGAAGAACAUGUAUCCUUUGCCUCGUAUUGAUGGCCUAUUUGAUCAGUUCCAAGGUACCAGGGUGUUUUCCAAGAUUGGCUUUCAUUCAGUUUAUCAUCAGUUGAAGAUUUAGGAACCAGAUAUCCCAAAGACUGCUUUCAGGAUUCGACAUGGUCAUUACGAGUUCCUUGUCAUGUCAUUUGGGCCAACCAACGCCCCAACAACAUUUAUGCAUUUGAUGCACAGUGUAUUUCAUCCUUAUCUUGAAUCAUUUGUUAUUGUCUUUACUGACUACAUUCUGGUGUACUCUUAGAGUCGGGAAGAUCAUAAGCAACACUUGAGGACUAUGCUUCAGACCUUGAGAGGGAAGAAAUUAUAUCAAAGUUCUCUAAAUGUGAGUUCUGGUUGGAUUUUGUUGCAUAUUUGGGUCACGUGGUGUCGAGUGAAGGGAUCAAGGUGGAUCUGAAGAAAGUGGAAGUGGUGAAGAGUUGGCCCAGACCAUCCUCAUCUAUAGGGAUCCGGAGUUUUCUUGUUUUGGCGGGGUGUUACCAUCGAUUUGUUAAGGGAUUCUCAUCUAUUACAGCACCUAUGACCAGGCUGACCCAGAAGGGUGCUCCGUUCAGGUGGAUGGAGGAGUGUUAGUAGAGCUUUCAAAUGCUCAAGACAGCUUUGACUACAUCCCAAGUAUUAGUAUUGCCUUCACGUUCGGGGUCUUAUGUAGUUUAUUGUGAUGCGUCACGAGUUGGCCUCGACACGGUAUUGAUGCAUUUUUCAUGCCUUGAAGAUUUGGAGGGAUUAUUUGUAUGGUGUCUCUUGUGAGAUCUACACCGAUCACCGAAGUUUGCAGCAUCUGUUCACGCAGAAGGAUCUUAAUUUGCAUCAGAGGAGGUGGUAGAGCUUCUUAAGGAUUAUGAUUUUACUAUUUUGUACCAUCCUAGGAAGGACAAUGUAGUGGCCGAUGCUUUGAAUCGUCGGGCAGAGAGUUUGAGGAGUUUAGCAUAGCUAAGCAGCAGAGAGGCGAAUAGAGUUGGAUGUUGAGGCCUUAGCCAGCUAGUUUGUGAGAUUGGAUAUUUCUGAGCCGAGUUAAGUGUUGGCUUGUGUGGUCUCUCGAUCUUUUCUUCAUGAUCGUAUCAGUGAGCGUCAGUGUGAUGACCCCUAUUUGCUUGUCCUUAAGGACACGGUCCAGCACGGUAAUGCUAAGGAGGUCACUAUUGGGGAUGAUGGUGCAUUAAGGAUGCAGGGCAGGCUAUGUGUGCCUAAUGUGGACGGUUUGCGUGAGUUGAUUCUUCAUGAGGCUCACAGCUCGCGGUACUCCAUUCACCCGGGUGCCACAAAGAUGUAUCAGGACUCGAGGCAACAUUAUUAGUGGCGUAGAAUGAAGUAGGACAUAGUGGAAUAUGUUGCUCGGUGUCUAAAUUUUCUGCAGGUGAAGUAUGAGCACCAGUGACUGGGUGGAUUGCUAGAAGUUAGAGAUUCCGGAGUGGAAAUGGGAGCGGAUGAUAAGUAGGGACUUUGACUGCUUAUUUGCUCUCUUUUACUUGUGUUUUAGCUCAAAAAUGCUUAAAGGUAUUCCCGAGAACUAAUGAAAUGUGCUUUCUUGCAGGAAUAUUGGGAAAUGAGUGAAAGAAGUGAAAAUCAACUCAAAAAGGAGAAAAAUUGGACAAGGACCAAAACAAGGCAAAAAGGGCCAUAGUGCGGACCGCACAAUAUUAUGUGUGACUGCACAACUCUGAAAGAGCACUGAUGGAAUUUCCUCACAAAGUGCAGACCACACACUUAUUGUGCGGCCGUAUAAAACAAGCUUAAGAGAACUUGCAUGUUAGGAGAUUGAAGAUGUGCGGACCGCACUAUUAUUGUGCGACCGCAGGAUGCCAAGUGCGGCCACACUCAUUAUUGUGUGGUCCGCAAAAGAGGAGAAUUAGAGAGACAUGUUUUUGGAAAAUUGAAGAUGUGCGGACCGCAUUAUUAUUGUGCGGCCGCAGGAGGCUAAAAUAUGGCCGCACUCAUAACUGUGCGGUCCGCAUAAUGAAGGCCAGCUCUAGUCCAAGUUCAAGUGUGCCGCACUCAGAAAUGUGUGGUCCGCACAAUUAAAUGAAGUGCCGCCGCAUUCCAGUUUUAUGUGACCGCAGAAAGCCCAAUUGACCAGUCAAUCUCAACAUGCGGACCGCACAAUCUCCGCAGGGGGAAUUUUGUCAGAUAUUUUCACCUUAGUAUAAAUAGAAGUUUUAUUCAUUUUAAGUUAAGUUUUGUAAGUUGGGAGCACCGAAACCGUUUUUAUUUACUGUAGUGGGUAACAUUGUACUAGAUUAGCUUUUAAAUAUUAGAUUUUCUUACCUUAAUCAAGUAUUAUGAAUUCUAUCUUAGUUUCUUUUCUAAUUUCUGCACUUUCCAUGAGUAGCUAAACCCUUAGCUAGGGUUGUGACCCAACCCUAGUAUGGGUAGUUAAUGGGUAAUUGAUUUAACGCGUAUUUAUGAUUAGGUUUAUAAUAUUUAGCCUAGUUCUUGCUUGAAUUUGAGAAUUGAUGGUUGCAAACAUUGAUUCAUGCCUAUUUAACCUAGUCUCUGUUUGAGAAAGAUAGACUAAGUCUAGGAAACCUUGGCUAACUAGGAAUUGGGGUGAACUCAAGAAAUUGAUAGCCCCAAUUAAAGGGUCGAACCUAGAGAUAAUAAGACCCGACUAGAGCAUUUAUCACUUGCUUUGUGAAAUGUUUGUUUGGACUUGAGAAAGCCAAAUCACGCAAAAUCACUCAAACUACCGAGAGGUAUAGAGUGAGUAAUUGAGUGUGAUUGCUAUAUUAUAUCUCGAUCAACUAAACAUUCCCUAAAGCUCUAAAUCCGUUAGGUAACCAACUAGGCGGAAGUCGCAACCCUAGAUCUUUCAUAACUUGAAAAUCAACCAAUACAAAAAAUAUUGUCUCUUAACUCUACAAUUACAAUCAAUAACUUAAAAGUAGCAGUAGAAACAACAACCAAUCAUGUGGAAGUGUAAUUUGGGGCAUAUCAUACAGUCACACUAUGUGUAUACCUAAUCAAAAAUCUAACUCCAUGUGGAUUCUACCCCGACUUGCUUUGGGUUUUUAUUAUUGCUUCUACCGCCACACAACCUAUAUUUGUAAUGUGAGUUUGGGCGACAUCAAUUUUUGGCGCCGUUGCCGGGGAGUUAAACGGAUUUAGCUAUAUAUCUAGAUUUUUGUGUGAUUUGUCUUCUUUUCCUUCCGAGUCACUAAGUUUGUUUGUGAAUUAAUUACAAGUAUGAGAAUGACUCUCAAAGACAAUGAUCCUCUUGGAAACGUGCUAUUGGGGGAUGAGGGGGAUGAUGACCAAGUUGAUGUGGUUCCUCUUGAACCUCAAGCAAAUAGAUGAGGCUGGCCGCCUCAAGAUAAUGUUCCCGUUCCACCCCUAUCUCCUCCAAGAGAGGCAGCGCAUCAGGUGUUGCCGAACGAGGGUUAUGCAAGUGCUAUAGUCCCACCCCGUAUUAGGUCGAGCAACUUCUAAAUCACCAAUGUGAUGCUUACACUACUUGAGUAACGUUGAUUCUUCAUCAGGGUUCCAUGACAAAAUGCUUACAAGCAUUGAUGUGCCGGAGAAUUUCAGCACAUUUAAUACAAAUUGCUUAGAUUUUAGCUUAUUUUAAAUGCAAUUAUCUUUUAUACUUAUGUAAUUUUAAUGUUUUUGCAGUGUAAGAGGUUUAAGGACCUAAGAACAUGGAAAUGAAAUCAAAAAGCCGCAAAAGGAUAAGAAAAGAGCAAAAUGUGAUCGCAGAUGUGAAAGUCCGGAGCGCAAAUCUAACAUGCGGACCGCAUAAUGCUCAAAGUAAUCGCAAAGCCCAACAGUAUGUUGGCCAAAUUAAAGCGCAAGAAAUGCGGUCCAUUAUGUGACCGCACAACAGGUUUGCGGGAUGCAUAACGGAUCGCAAACUCCUUGUAGAAGUUGUUGAAGGCGGAAAAUAUGGUGACCAAUGUGAUCGCAAAUCAACAAUGCGGACUGCAUAACCUAAAUGCGACGAAUACUUGGGAACUAGGGUUUCGAAGAUGCGAUGGCUGUGACAAGAAUGAGGACCACAUGUCUGUUAUGUGACAGAAAUGUGAUCGCAUAAUUGACCUGGAAGGGUAUUUUUGUCCAAAUCUGGUCCCGAGUUUUAGCCCACUAUAAAUAGAUUUAUUGGGAUUUUGUGGGGCAUCUUGUCUGGUUUUUG